UGGCUUCCAGUUCCUAUUCUAGCUCUUUCUCUGUACUCACAGCUAAUAUUAUUACAUAAAUCCUGACCUUUGCUGCUGCUGGCUUCAUUGAAAAACAACGGCUUGUAGAACAACAGAUUAAGAAAAAAAACCCACAGAAGUGUCCUAUUACAGAAAAUGUAAUUUUGAUUGGUACCCAAACAUAACUGGUUCCAAAGAAAAUGUGGAAGUUCAACCAAAACUGAGUACAUACCAGCAGACCGCAGCAGAAAGUGCUCUAUUAAUGUCUUAAUUGCUAUCAUGAGAAGUAUUUACCUAAGUGGUGCCAUGCAUGGAUUAAAUACCAUCUUCUCUCCCUUCUCUCUUUCCUUCCUUCCCUUUUUUACCCAGUGCCAGAGAAAGCAGCAUUUGCAGCUCUCCAGGCUGCAUACGCUUUGUGUUUUUUCAUACCACUUCUUCUACCACAUACGAUGUAGAUAUAGAUUUUUUUUUUAGUUGUUAAAUAAGACAUCGAGAAAAGAACCAGCUCUGCACACUACACAUUUAUCUGUACUCCAAAAGCAUUCCCUGUAUUGGAAAGUAAGUAAAUAUCUUAGAAUUUUUAAAAUAUUACUUUCUGUGAAUGAUCUCAUUUUUAAUGGUAUGAAUGACAAGAGGAUAUACUUGAAGACCUAAGUAUCAGUGCUGACUUCAGUUAUGAGUGAUUGUUUUUGCCUCUACAGCUCCCUGAGAUCCUGACCAAAGGAAGAAGUUUAAGCUUAAUGUCUUUAUCUUUUAGUACCUCCCUACAGAAACCACUACAGUCUAUGAAGAAAUGAUUGGAAUGUAAAAAUUCGAACUCACGAGAAGCACGGUGGGAUUCUAGGUUAUGUCAUUAAAAUAAAAAAAAUGCUCCUUGA